CCUACGGGUGGCAGCAGUGAGGAAUAUUGGUCAAUGGGAGAGAUCCUGAACCAGCCAAGCCGCGUGAGGGAAGACGGCCCUAUGGGUUGUAAACCUCUUUUGUCGGAGAACAAAACCCGGUACGUGUACCGCAUCGAGAGUACCCGGAGAAAAAGCAUCGGCUAACUCCGUACCAGCAGCCGCGGUAAUACGGAGGAUGCGAGCGUUAUCCGGAUUUAUUGGGUUUAAAGGGUGCGCAGGCGGCGAGUUAAGUCAGCGGUAAAAUUUCGGGGCUCAACCCCGACAAGCCGUUGAAACUGGGUUGCUAGAGUGGGCGAGAGGUAUGCGGAAUGCGUGGUGUAGCGGUGAAAUGCAUAGAUAUCACGCAGAACUCCGAUUGCGAAGGCAGCAUACCGGCGCCCAACUGACGCUCAGGCACGAAAGCGUGGGUAUCGAACAGGAUUAGAUACCCUAGUAGUC
rnacentral:rRNA from 1 species